AAUUUUUUUGCACAGACUGGUCUGGAGCCUCAGUCUACCCCAUAGUCACCUCCUGAGCAGCUAGAAUUACAGACAUGAGCCACCAUACCUGGCUCCAACAAAAGUGUUUACAGAUGAUGUGCUAGGUGCUUGGUAAGACAGUCACGGUCUCAAAUAUGACAUUCUCAUUCCUAGAAGUCAGAGUAUAAGCAUGUAAUUGCAUAUUUAAGCAAGGUUGUGGUUAAGUGCAAAUAGAGGUGAGAGGAGGAUUUAGAAACUAGAGAUAAUAGAGAUGAAUCUGUUUUCAAAAAACUUGAAUUCACAUGACAGUAAAUCAUGGUCCUAAAAAGGAAUCUUAACUUUCCAGUCAGUCAUUAACUACUGGGCAUCUAUUCUAUACCAAGUAGUGCGAAAAGGGCAUAUACAUGGCCUGAACUCCUAUGACUCUAGAAAGUGAGUGUAUUUAAAUCCAUUAUUUUCCCAAUGGUCAAGGUAAGAUGCCAAGAAGUAGGUGUUAGGUCCCACUCAUAAACAGAUAAUACAUAUCAUUAUACUUGAUGCCAAAGACUGAUGAGAACACAGGACCAUGGGAAGGAAAGGAAUUUACUCAGCCUCACUCACAAGUUGCCUGGUCUGGGGUCCCAUGUCUGUUUGUACAAUCCCACAACUCCUCUUUCUUUCAUAAAAGCUUGCAGUAUCAUUUUGGAUAAGCAAAUAUAUCAUAGUGGUGUCAUGAGGUGAGUGGGAAUUGGGAGGAACCCCAGGGGAGGCAGGACCAGGAAUUAGUUGGAUAAUCUGUUUUCCUUACAGACCCCUAGCCAGUUACAAGGAAAUCUGACCAGAGAACACUCAGGCAUUCCUUAGCCCUCAUGGUUGCUCAAAUCCCCUUUGGUCAAAUUAGCACAUAUGACAUAGAAAUCUCACAGAGGCUUUUCAUUUUCUUUCUACCAGAGAAAGAACAACCCAGAGACAACAACACUGGUAUACAUGCAGCAACUCCCUGGUGAGCUUGGGGCAGACCUAGAGCAAUCUGAGUGCCUAGAGUCCAAUUUUAACCCAGCAGGUCCUUGUACCAUUCUAUUUCAAGUAGAUAAUGUUUCCUUAGCCAGAUCACACACAGGGGUCCUAAAACAAGUCAGCCAGCAGAUGUGCAGUUACUGCUUCCUGGAUAUCUAUUCCAAAAAGAAAAGAGGAAGGGAGAGAGAGCAAAAGAGAGAAGUAACAAAAGAGAGAAAUAGAGUAAAAGAGAGAGAGAAAGAGAAGGAAGGAAGGAAGGAAGGAAGGAAGGAAGGAAGGAAGGAAGGAAGGAAGGAAGAAAAUACCCGUGGCAUCAUUUGAUAGCUCUUUAGGUGAUUCCAAGUGAACUUGUUCUCUAACUCAAGAGAGACAUCAAAUGAAUAGUUAAGCAUAUUCCUCAAUAACGCUGCUGCAAAGUACCCAGUUGAAAAUACCCUCUCUUCUUGAUGGCAUCUUGAUUGCUUCUUUAUCUUCUGUCUUCAGUUAGUAAUCCAUCCCUAACCAUUCUCAUUGCCAUAAUAAUCACCUUAACCAAUAUCUCACCUACAUGACUACCAUACUCUUUCUUGUGUCCCUGACCCAAUUCACUGCCAUGUAGCCAGACUACCUUCCUAACAUAAAUACCCAGUGCAUCAUUGACUGCCUUAGAGAUUAAUUUCUAACUCCCUCAUGAGGAUUCACUACACCUUCAAAUGUGGCACUUUCACCUUCCUUAGUCUCCAAUCUGGGGAUGCCCCCACCUCACCCUUUCCUACCCAGGCUUACAGAUCAUGUAUGUUACAUUACUGUUUGAAAGUAGAGAUAAAGACUCUUAUCAUCUUUGCUUUCCCAGGGCAUACCAGUGCUGAGACCAGAGUGUGUGCCAUGAGUGAAUAAAUGAAUGAAGAGUUGGGUUGGAGGACCUCUUUGAUACCACUGAGGUUGAUUCUAGCUCCCUCUAUUACAAAAAGGCAGACAGGUGGGAAGUAAAGUGCCCUCAGUGGUAUAGUCUGGUAAAAAUAAUCAUUUAAGAUCCCUUGGGGGUGGGGGGAAUUUAAAACCCUCCACCUGAGGGUUUAAGGGCAGGACACAUUACCUUAAAUUAUUUUAAAAACAGAUGGUAAUUGACAGUUAUUUGAGCUAAGUAAACGGUUAGGGAAAGGGAACCUCAUUCCAGAAAAACACAAGGCCCACAACAAAAAAUUAACAGCCUGGAAGAAGGCCAGUUUUCCCAGUAUGUUUCUCAAUUCUAUCUAGAAAGACUCUCAAUAUUCUAUUCUCUGGGUUAUUCCCAUCUCCCAAUACACAAGUUUUGACUUCCAAAUCCGGGGAGGCUUCCUUCCUCUCAUAAUCAGUCUCCAAACUCUUCUCACCCUUUCUCAAAGUCCCUCAAAUCAUCCUGAAGAACAGGCAUCUGGGCCUCCCACUAUGUGGUCCCCCUCAGCUGGCCCCUGCUAGAGCCAGGCCAGUAGCAAUCAGGUCAAGGGCCAAGCAUGAGGGCCUCAUUAGCACAGGACUCCCAGAAGACAGAGCAGCAGUCAUCUGGCUGGAAGACUCAGCCAAAACGUGUGUGUGUGGGGGGGGGGGGGGGGGGGGGGGGGGACCAGGACAUACACUUGGGGCAUCAUAGACAGGAAAAAGGAGAAAAGUAAGCAAAAGUAAAGCAAAAA